UCCCAAGUUAAAGAGUUUAAAUUAUGAAUGUUAAUAAGUAAAAUAAGAAAGAAUAAGGAGACAUUUCUAUCAUUUAUAUAAUGUGAAUUCCCCUAGAAGUCAAUGAAUGUUUAAUCCAGUUUUAGAGGUCGACUGAUCGGGAAAAUUAAUUUAAACAGAAAAAAAUGCCUCCUUUAAAUACACUAUAUUAUCAUUUUUUUUUCAUUACAACAAAAUAAGAAAGAUUUAAGAUAAAAUGUUUCAUUUCUCUGCUUGUUUGAAAUAGUUAAAGGUAUAAUUUAUCACACAUCAUAUAUCUGUAAAGGAAGAUUCGACCAUUCUGAGAUUAAUUUAAUAUUUAAUUAAAUUAACUUAAUCAACUGUUA